AACGGAGGGGGCAAGCGUUAUCCGGAAUUACUGGGUUUAAAGGGUGCGUAGGCGGCUUGAUAAGUCAGGGGUGAAAGCCUAUCACUUAACGAUAGAAUUGCCUUUGAUACUGUAAAGCUUGAAAGGGGUUGAGGUCAGCAGAAUGUGGCAUGUAGAGGUGAAAUGCAUAGAUAUGCCAUAGUACACCGAUUGCGAAGGCAGCUGGCUGGGCCUACUUUUACGCUGAGGCACGCAAGCGUGGGGAGCGAACAGG
rnacentral:rRNA from 1 species